CCAGGCGUGAAAUUCAAAGCCAAGGACAAACGGCUCAGGAAGGUUCUAUAAUGUUUGAAGGCUUAAUGCAACCAACACAAUGUCAUCUGCAAACAGAAGUACAGAUGGGACAUACCUUGCUGAAAAAUAGCUUGUUAAGGUGGUGCUUUGCUCUCCCAAGUUAAAUGUUUUUUAAAAAAUAAUCAACAAACAAAGCGACGUACAGGCUUCAUCAGACUGUCAAAGGGGUCUCUGACACAAGAUAAAGAACUGCUUUGGAGUGAGGUCACCAAGAACACACUUAAAACCU